rnacentral:rRNA from 1 species
GCAUAUCAAUAAGCGGAGGAAAAGAAACCAACAGGGAUUGCCCUAGUAACGGCGAGUGAAGCGGCAACAGCUCAAAUUUGAAAUCUGGCCUCGGCCCGAGUUGUAAUUUGCAGAGGAUGCUUCGGGCGCGGUGCCUACUGAGUUCCCUGGAACGGGACGCCGUAGAGGGUGAGAGCCCCGUACGGUAGGACGCCUAGCCUGUGUGAAGCUCCUUCGACGAGUCGAGUAGUUUGGGAAUGCUGCUCAAAAUGGGAGGUAUAUCUCUUCUAAAGCUAAAUACCGGCCAGAGACCGAUAGCGCACAAGUAGAGUGAUCGAAAGAUGAAAAGCACCUUGAAAAGGGGGUUAAACAGCACGUGAAAUUGUUGAAAGGGAAGGGCCCAUGACCAGACUUGUGUCCGGCGGAUCACCCAGCGUUCUCGCUGGGGCACUCCGCCGGGUCCAGGCCAGCAUCGGUUCUCGCCGGGGGAUAAAGGCUUGGGGAACGUAGCUCCUCCGGGAGUGUUAUAGCCCCUUGCGUAAUACCCUGGCGGGGACCGAGGUACGCGCUCCGCAAGGAUGCUGGCGUAAUGGUCAUCAGCCACCCGUCUUGAAACACGGACC